GACGAACGCUGGCGGCGUGCCUAAUACAUGCAAGUCGAGCGGAACUGGGGGAGCUUGCUCCUUCCAGUUUAGCGGCGGACGGGUGAGUAACACGUGGGCAACCUGCCCUGCAGAUCGGGAUAACUCCGGGAAACCGGUGCUAAUACCGAAUAGUUUGGCGCCUCCCCUGAGGCGCCACGGAAAGACGGUUUCGGCUGUCACUGCACGAUGGGCCCGCGGCGCAUUAGCUAGUUGGUGGGGUAACGGCCCACCAAGGCGACGAUGCGUAGCCGACCUGAGAGGGUGACCGGCCACACUGGGACUGAGACACGGCCCAGACUCCUACGGGAGGCAGCAGUAGGGAAUCUUCCGCAAUGGACGCAAGUCUGACGGAGCAACGCCGCGUGAGUGACGAAGGUUUUCGGAUCGUAAAACUCUGUUGUGAGGGAAGAACACGUACCAACUAACUAUUGGUACCUUGACGGUACCUCACCAGAAAGCCACGGCUAACUACGUGCCAGCCGCCGCCGUAA
rnacentral:rRNA from 1 species